GACGCGAGGAAACGGCAUAGCUCGGUAGAUAGCGCCCUACCAUUGAGACCAGAGAUAGCGGUACUCCGAGUCAGCCUAGCUAGGGGUGUAGGAAAGAAGAAAAAUAAUAUUGUAAUAAUCUUGAUUGUAUUUGGAAGAGAAGAAAAUGAAAAUGUAAUAUGUAAAAAGCAUGUGAUGUGAAAGGUUGUAAAAACUUAAUUAUUUUAUGUUUUUGAUACUUCCUUAUGCAAUCUCUGAUUGAAAUAUGUUCAUGAUUGGAACCUCGUGCUUUGUAUGGAUUGCGACGCCUAGGACGUACACGGGAAACUCUGU
rnacentral:lncRNA from 1 species